rnacentral:rRNA from 1 species
AUACGGAGGGUGCAAGCGUUAUACGGAAUCAUUGGGUUUAAAGGGUCCGCAGGCGGAUUAAUAAGUCAGUGGUGAAAUCCUCUCGCUCAACGAGAGAACUGCCAUUGAAACUGUUAGUCUUGAAUUCGGUCGAAGUAGGCGGAAUGUGUCAUGUAGCGGUGAAAUGCAUAGAUAUGACACAGAACACCGAUAGCGAAGGCAGCUUACUAGACCUGGAUUGACGCUCAUGGACGAAAGCAUGGGGAGCGAACAGGAUUAGAUACCCCGGUAGUCC